UUGCUAACAUGUGACAGAGCUACAUAACC
rnacentral:piRNA from 1 species